ensembl:lncRNA
AUGGACGGAGUCGCGUUUGUCACUUUUGAUCGAGCUGAAGAUGCAGCAAAGGUGGUGGAAAAGGAACAGCAAGUGAUGGAGGAUGAGGAGUUUCCUGCUGUCUACACCCUCACCGUGUUUCCCUUCAGUACAGACGUGUUUCUGUACGUCAACAGCGCCACGGUGGAUCUCUCCGUCUUCGACGACCCCGCUUCGUUGAUAGCGAGUCUUCAGUCUACUUACAGAUCGAUACGAUUCCAGCGUUUGCCCCAGCAGAACAAGGUCAGAAUUGAGGGGCCUUUCUAUGCGGUCAGGGCUCUGAGAGAUGACCUCACCGCGAGGACCAACAGCCUUAAACCCUUAGCCCAAAGCGCUAGUAUCAACUCAAACGUUAACAUCCCAAACUUUUCCUCAAAGCUAAAAGUUCCUGAUGAGACUUUGGGUGCAGGGGGGGAGGUGGUGGAACAGCUGACUGCUCAUAGGAGGCUUGAAAUGUCCACAAACUGUAGAACGGAUGGAUUACCCUCCAGCCGUAGGGAGGUGGUGGGAGCAGAAACAAUGACGAGGACGGCGUCCUCUUUUGCUGAGCAUGAAAUGUCAGUAAAACCAAAGAAACUCACCAGUGCUCCUUCAGCCGGGACCAAAGGACAUUCCAAAGUGCCAAGCAGCCCCGUGCCAUCUGAGAGGGGCCGUUCGCCAAUGAGGGACCCGAAAGGCGCCAGAGGGCGGCGCUCCAAUGACGUAGACGACAUUUGGGUGGAUGAGUACACAUUCAAGUACAUUAAAAAGUUCCAUAAAGAGCACAUGGACAGAUGCCUGAAGGGUCUGAAAGUCUGGGAGGAGCACGUGGAGGGAAGCGGCCUGGUGCGGAUAUGUCUGAGGGACAAGGAGUCAUCGGGUAAAGACGCCGCCAAGAACCUCCAGACUCUCAUAACGUCUGAGCACGCCAACCUGAGAGUUUAUGAAAUCUCUCUGGACAAAACGCAGCUGCGCUCUAAGAGACAACUGACUAAAUUCUGCGAGGACGCAGCCUUCCUGUACCAAAAUGUUCUUUACCUGCUCGAGGAAUCUUCUAUUAAAGUCAUCGGCCCGGCUGUAUCAUCCUUCCUGUUCCGUUUGAUUUUGGAGGACAAAAUACAAAUGACAUUUCUGGAUGGUUAGUAAAUCAGAACCUCUUUAGAACCAGUUCCUGUGGUGGACCAACUCUUCUGAUCGCCUCAAGUGAGCAGUGAUUUUUUUUUUAUUAAAACCUAAUUCUUUGACAGGAAAUACCCAAACUGAACAGCAGGGGGCAGUAAGAGCCUUUCUUCUUCAGGAGCGAGGCGUUGAAGUGAAGCAAUUAUGGAGGAUGGGUUUGGCAAACAGGGUGAGGACUGGAAGACGAACGAUCAGAGACUGAUGUCCCAUUACAACCCCCAUAUCUCCUCACACUGUUAUCAGAUCUGCAGAAGUGAUGUUCGAUACUGCCUGGUUGAGGGAUUUACCUUUCAGAUCAUCUCGUUCAGCAGAUCCACUAAUUGAUUCUGUUUGUUAAAAAAAACUAAAAAAACAAGCGCCGCCGCCACAAUGAACCCACGCCACCUCUCCCGCUCGUUACCAUAGGAACGUAACAGAGGAGGUUGGAGAGCUGCAGCGAUGGGCGUUGUUAGGGGAAGCUCUUGAUCACAACAAAAGCAUCCAGAAGGACGGUGGGAUUCUGCAGGAGAGACCCUUCAUCACAGGUCCGCCUCCUCCAUCACAGGCUGUCCCUUUGAUACGUCUUAACCUUCCCCCAUUAUUUGGGUGGAGGGGGGGGCAUAAAAGAGGGUCAACGAGCAGAAAGCACGAAUAUUUUUUUUCUGUGACAGGCUCUCCAUCACACUCACGUGCACCCAUCAUGAACCAGGCGUAAUUAGCGUUUUGAAUGUGUGGCUUUCAUGGGAGGUCACCUAAAAUGACGAGUCUUUCAGGAAAAAAAAAAAGGCCUCCGCGUCACCCGGACACGGAACGCUCCUGAACAUCAAGGGUACUUCCAAUCCAGAGACCAAAUCUGAGGCUCAGGUGGGGCUGAAACAUACGAGCACUUCAGAAUAAACAUUCACAGACUGAAUGACAACAAGGUACUUAAAUUCAACAUGAUUAUGUACCUCAAUAUGCAGAUGAUGGUGUAAUUUAUUGCUUUAAUAUCAGCUAUAGUUUCUGUAGAUCCAACUCUUUUCUGUUGGUCGGACCGCAUUAAAAAAGUAAAUGAUAACAGGAACGUUUUACUUUUAGUAUUGUCUUUACACAAAAGGUUAAAGAAAUCAUUUAAUCCAGCCAAUUAGUUUCUGAUUUUUGGUGCAUUCCAGAUCCUUUGAGUGCAGUCUAGACUGUUCUCCAUACAGGUUCAAUUUCCGUACAAAUUUUGGUUAUUUAAAGCUGAGUUGUCCUCAAGGCAUUAUCACAGUAAAGAUGACAUAAAUAAUAUUUUCUGCUCAUGGUCCAUCAUUUUUUAGUUUGCAAUUACUGAGCCUAGUUUCCUGUUUUUUUUACAAAAAUUUCCUUUUUUUUAACAAAAUGUAUACCUGUCCUGUUGUAAUGUGCCUUUAUGAAGCACAAAGCUUCUCUGUUUGGAAAAAAUCAAGGGAUAAAACAAAGUUUUUAUGGUAAUUUUUAUAGACUGAGUAAAGUUCUUCCCCCAAUCAAGCUUCCUGUGAGCACCAAAACUCUCACUGUGCCUCAGACAACUCAUGCAGUAGUAAUAAUAUUUAUUUUCACGUCUUUUAGUUUUGCUUUCACAUUCUUUGUUGCUUUCACAUUUUUUGACAUUCACUUUCCUUUAAGUUAACAUUCACAUUCCUAUAAGUUAGCAUUUCGCAUUCCUCCAAGUUGNNNNNNNNNNGCAUUUCGCAUUCCUCCAAGUUAGCAUUUCGCAUUCCUCCAAGUUAGCAUUUCGCAUUCCUCCAAGUUAGCAUUUCGCAUUCUUCCAAGUUAGCAUUUCACAUUCCUCCAAGUAAACAUUUCCCAUUCCUCUAAGUUAGCAUUUCACAUUCCUCUAAGUUAACAUUUUCCAUUCCUCUUAGUUGCCAUUUCUCAUUCCUUUAUUAUUGGCAUUACACAUUCUUUUAGUUGGCAUUUCACAUUCCUUUAGUUUGGCAUAAGACUCUGUGCAAUUCCAUGAAACAUUUUUGCUCUUUAUCGUGUCUCCAAUGUCUACCAAUAAACCAUUACCUGUGAGUUUUUGUCGCUGUGUCCCUGAAACUGAAUGUUAAAUAAUGCUUUAGUCACUUUAGGUUUUUUAUUCUAUUUCUGCAGUAUCAAAGUAACAUGAUUCAGGUUGUGCAUCACAAUUCUGAGACAGCAACAUGACGAUGUAAUAAAUUAUAAUAGAUUAACAACAACUAGUAAUAUUUAUGACAAUAUGGAAUGGAGGUUACAUGCACAACACUGUUUACUUAAAAAAAAAAGACAAUAGUGAGUGUCAUGUUCCCAAAAUGACAGAAAGUCGUACGAAACUCUAAUCUGAGAGGAGAAACAUCAACAUCACGUUUUAAUGACAAAAGUCACAUUUAGCUCACAGACUUCUAAUUAAACUGAUAUUUUUCUGUCAUUUGGUUCAGUUUCUUACUCUGUUUGAUGAAUACAGUAUCACAUCAAAUGAAAAUACUAUUCAAAUAAAACCCUGAAAAGUUACAUUAACACAAAUGUGUCAUUUUAUGAAAAUAAAAAUCCAAUUUUUGUUACAAAUUGUUUCUUUUUUUCCAUCUGUGACCCUUUCUUUGGUCCUGCCCUCUAUAAACAUCCACCCUCCCUCUUUAUUCUGUUUGCCCUGAAAUGUAAAAAGGAAUAUACAAGAUGA